UACGAAGGGGGCUAGCGUUGUUCGGAAUCACUGGGCGUAAAGGGCGCGUAGGCGGCUUUGUAAGUCGGGGGUGAAAGCCUGUGGCUCAACCACAGAAUUGCCUUCGAUACUGCAUGGCUUGAGACCGGAGAGGUUAGUGGAACUGCGAGUGUAGAGGUGAAAUUCGUAGAUAUCGUAAGGAAGACCAGUGGCGAAGGCGGGUCUCUGGACAGUUCCUGACGCUGAGGCACGAAGGUCAGGGGAGCAAACGGG
rnacentral:rRNA from 1 species